AUGAACGCUAGCUACAGGCUUAACACAUGCAAGUCGAGGGGCAGCAUGAAUCAAGCUGCUUGAUUGAUGGCGACCGGCGCACGGGUGCGUAACACGUAUCCAAUCUACCCAUGGCUCAGGGAUAGCCUUUCGAAAGAAAGAUUAAUACCUGAUGGUUUCAUGAGCCCGCAUGGACUUAUGAAUAAAGAUUUAUCGGCGAUGGAUGAGGAUGCGUCCGAUUAGAUAGUAGGCGGGGUAACGGCCCACCUAGUCGACGAUCGGUAGGGGCUCUGAGAGGAGGAUCCCCCACAUUGGAACUGAGACACGGUCCAAACUCCUACGGGAGGCAGCAGUGAGGAAUAUUGGUCAAUGGGCGAGAGCCUGAACCAGCCAAGUAGCGGUAGAGGGAUGACUGCCCUAUGGGUUGUAAACCUCUUUUGUUUGGGAAUAAAGUGAGCCACGUGUGGCUUUUUGUAUGUACCUUACGAAUAAGCAUCGGCUAAUUCCGUGCCAGCAGCGGC
rnacentral:rRNA from 1 species